AAACGCUACGGCAUGAUCUAUGUUGAUCGUGACAAUGAAGGAAACGGAUCCAUGAAGCGGUAUAAGAAAGAUUCCU
rnacentral:tRNA from 1 species